AGAAAAGUCACUCCAUAUCUUCUUCAUGUAUCAGACAUGGCAUACAUAAUCAAGGAGAAAGGUACCUCUCACUUGAUCUUUCUAACUUAAAGUUGAGGUCAAUUAUGGUCUUCGAUCCACAUUUUCGUAAUGUGUUCCAACAUAUAGAUAUGUUUCGACAUCUAUAUGUGUUGUACUUGAAUAUUAAAUAUGGUGGUGUUGUACCUGGAUCCAUUGGGAGUUU
rnacentral:misc_RNA from 1 species